GAUGAAGAACGUAGCGAAAUGCGAUAAGUAGUGUGAAUUGCAGAAUUUAGUGAAUCAUCGAAUCUUUGAACGCAUAUUGCGCCUUUUGGUAUUCCGAAGGGCAUACCUGUUCGAGCGUCGUUACAAUUCUUAAGCUCUGCUUAAUGGUGAACGCUUUGUCUAACUAGUAGUUUAGACUCGUUCCAAAGGCAUUGGCGUCGAUUAUUGGUCUUACGCGUAGCAAAAUCUUUCGCAUACAGACCGAUGAAUAGACUGCCCUAAUGGUAUGUCGUGUUGUUUCGACAUUUUGUUUGACCUCGGAUCAGGUAGGGAUACCCGCUGAACUUAAGCAUAUCAAUAAGCGGAGGA
rnacentral:misc_RNA from 1 species